GAAUAUUGCACAAUGAGCGAAAGCUUGAUGCAGCGACGCCGCGUGAGGGAUGACGGCUUUCGGGUUGUAAACCUCUUUCGGCAGGGAACAAGUCCAGGUUUUGGCCUGGUUGAGGGUACCUGCAUAAGAAGCACCGGCUAACUACGUGCCAGCAGCCGCGGUAAUACGUAGGGCGCGAGCGUUGUCCGGAAUUAUUGGGCGUAAAGAGCUCGUAGGCGGUUUGUCGCGUCUGCUGUGAAAACCCGAGGCUCAACCUCGGGCCUGCAGUGGGUACGGGCAGACUAGAGUGCGGUAGGGGAGACUGGAAUUCCUGGUGUAGCGGUGGAAUGCGCAGAUAUCAGGAGGAACACCGAUGGCGAAGGCAGGUCUCUGGGCCGCAACUGACGCUGAGGAGCGAAAGCAUGGGGAGCGAACA
rnacentral:rRNA from 1 species